AGUCGGUGGGGUAACCCGCAAGGGAGCCAGCCGCCGAAGGUGGGGUAGAUGAUUGGGGUGAAGUCGUAACAAGGUAGCCGUAUCGGAAGGUGCGGCUGGAUCACCUCCUUUCUAAGGA
rnacentral:rRNA from 1 species